CGGACUCAUUGCUUUCCCCUGUUUAUUAAGCAGGACGCGGGUGCCGAUCUCCGAGUCAGAGCGCUCCUCCGGCAGGACCGCCGGUAUGGCUAGCCUCCGCAGCUCUCCGUUAAUCUAUCGGGCUACAUUCCCGUUGCUGGUGUGUCAGUAUGUGCCCUGCAUCGUCGAGACAGCGACCGCGGUGCCCUGUCGUCCCGUCUCUGUUCUGCCUAAGGUAGCUCCGUCGCCAAUGGGCAAGUUGGUUCUGCUCAGUGCCCUCCAAACGGACCGGUUGUUGGGGAGAUUGGAGUCCGGAGCUUGCUUUAUUUUCCUCCCCUCUAAUCUUCACCACGGCAAGUCCAAUGUUGUCUAUAGCAACGCCUCGAAUCAUCUAUCUCUUCAUCUGCUCCAGUAAAUCCCGUUCCUCUACUUCCCUGCAUAAGUAAAUGAUGCGGUUGGUUUUCCCUUUAAGCAGCUAGUUCCCAUGUAGCUGGAGCUUCCCCCAUGGCAUGCUGCUAUGGCCGCCAGACAAGACACAUGCAUCUAUAGCCAUCGCUGGGCAUAUACUGAAUCGGUAGAACUCUCAGUAAGCACAUCGCCAUGUUGAUAGCUCAGGUACACUCAUCUCAAAGUAUGUGUAUGUAUUAUUUUCUUCAGAGAAAAACCUUUCAUUAGUUUCCCAAGUACUAGCUUUUUGUCCGUAAAUUUGUGUUUCGUCAAUCUGAAUAUGAAUCAUGCCUUUCUCACCACACUCAUUCAUGGAAUCAGUUUACUAGCCACAUGAUUUACCAAUAGAUGUCUUUAACAAUAUGAUAUUUAAGGCCUCUUGAUUCUUAAAAAAUAGGACAUUUGGACAAACUAUGUUGGUUUUAUUCUCUUAAUAUUAAUAUAAAAUUAUCUAUAAUAAAGUCCUGCUACACCGUGUAACAGGUUUCCUGGUCCCUUGAUUCCCAAACGUCCUCUGCUAUGUUUGCUUCUAUACUAUAUCAUGUGCUUGGUAUGCAGAUUAUUUUUGUAGUACCAUCCUCGAUUAUAUUCAGAAACGAGUCAGUGCUGUAUUAUGAGACACAUCUACUACUCCUAUGUGUUAUUGUUUUUUCCAAAACUUACUAUAUCAACACAGUAUUAGCUAGAUUGACUGUCUAAGCCACUUCAUUACAACCGUAUUAAGGUUCUUUGGCAUGCAAAACACAACAGAAGGUACAAUUAUUCCAUUGGUUGAUCACAGGUUUGUAAUAAAUAUUUUUAUCGAACCCUUCAGUUUAUAAGACUAAACAAAAUAGAUGUCCCAGAAAUUUAUUCACAGGGUCAUGCUGUUCGACAGGGUUGUAGACGUCUACAUGGACCACGCCAGAAAUCAUCAUCAUGUAUUCUAAUCCCUUGACCAACCAUAGUUACUUCUGCUGAGAAGUGAGAACCGCCGCAGACAACAUCCUCUCAAUGUUGACGUCAGACAAAGAAUCCUCAUCCAAAUUCGACCUUUAUCCAUAACCGUGAGGGACUAUCUUUGAACCCUUAAACCCCAGGGCACUCAGCAUUCUUGAAGACAUUUUGGAGUUUAUUUUGGUAUGAAGACCGUGUUUGCAGAGAUCACUUAGGAUCCAAGUUAGAAUUUAUGUUGUAGAAGAGGAAGAAUAUUGCUGCCACCAUUUAGAUUUGAGGAUAUGUUCUUGAAAGAUGUUGGCAGCCAUUCAUUUUUUUACUACUACCUAUGUACACUAAUAUAAGAUAUUUUCGUAGUUCAAUUUGUACAGUAAAAACAUCUUACAUUAGUGUACAAAGGGAGUACUAUUUUCUUAGUUUCAUGUAUAAAACUGAGUAAUAGUUUACCAGGGUUUGAAAGAAAUCAUAUUUUAUG